UGUCUCUGACCUGGGUAAAGUGGCAUCUGGUUGGUGGUACUUAUCUCAAAUCACACAGACAUAAGGCAAUCUCUUGUUUAUCCCAGCUUGGCUUUUCUUAUCU
rnacentral:snoRNA from 1 species